rnacentral:lncRNA from 1 species
ACUCAAUAUAUUUCAUGUCUCUAGUACUUUUAUUACAAUUCUCUAUGAAUAUCCUUUAGCUUAGGUAGGAUAUUUCAUUAAGCAUACAUCAUGCUAACUCAAGGCAGGAAAUAAUAAAAUUAUGUGAAGUGUUAACAUAUCUGAGAGUAAAUGAUAAAAAUUAAUCUAACCAAGAUGCCAGCCAUAAAAUAAAUUACAUGGGCUGAAGAAAAAUGUGAACAUCAAAUAAAAAAGAAGAAUUGCAUUCUAAAUCUAAGGCAAGGUAGAUGAGUAGAGUUGAGUUCCUUAUAAAGAAAUAUUUGAAGUCAUAACUAUAACUAGACUUUACUUCAAAUGAACAAAUCUCAAUUCAGAUUCUUUCUUGCCCUGAGCUGCAGCUAAUAUGUCUCCAUUUCACGACGAAUACUGUCAGGAAUGACAAUGACCGAUAAGUAGAACCAGUACAAAGUUCCUCCUAGAAUGGAAUGUCACCCAUGUGAGGGAAAAGAAGACAAAUUAAGACCAAAAUUAAAAUAUAUCACCAGCAGCCCCAAAGCACUGACUCAAAAUCAGGUCAGUUUAAA